AUUGAACGCUGGCGGCAGGCCUAACACAUGCAAGUCGAACGAGUGGCGGACGGGUGAGUAAUGUUUGGGAAUCUAGCUUAUGGAGGGGGCUAACUACGGGAAACUGUAGCUAAUACCGCGUACCAUAGGAUGAGCCCAGAUGGGAUUAGUUAGUUGGUGGGGUAACGGCUCACCAAGGCGACGAUCCCUAGCUGGUCUGAGAGGAUGACCAGCAACACUGGGACUGAGACACGGCCCAGACUCCUACGGGAGGCAGCAGUGGGGAAUAUUGCGCAAUGGGGGCAACCCGGACGCAGCCAUGCCGCGUGAAUGAAGAAGGCCUUCGGGUUGUAAAGUUCUUUCGGUAGCGAGGCGUUAACUACAGAAGAAGCACCGGCUAACUCCGUGCCAGCAGCCGCGGUAAUAC
rnacentral:rRNA from 1 species